rnacentral:rRNA from 1 species
AUACGGAGGGUGCAAGCGUUACUCGGAAUCACUGGGCGUAAAGCGCGCGCAGGCGGUCUUUUAAGUUGGAUGUGAAAGCCUACGGCUCAACCGUAGAACUGCAUCCAAAACUAUUAGACUAGAGUGUGGGAGAGGAAGAUGGAAUUAGUUGUGUAGGGGUAAAAUCCGUAGAGAUAACUAGGAAUACCAAAAGCGAAGGCAAUCUUCUGGAACACUACUGACGCUGAGGCGCGAAAGCGUGGGGAGCAAACAGGAUUAGAAAACCUAGUAGUCCC